rnacentral:rRNA from 1 species
CCUACGGGUGGCAGCAGUGAGGAAUAUUGGUCAAUGGACGAGAGCCUGAACCAGCCAAGUAGCGUGAAGGAUGACUGCCCUAUGGGUUGUAAACUUCUUUUAUAUGGGAAUAAAACCAGGCAUGUAUACCCUCUUGUAUGUACUUUAUGAAUAAGGAUCGGCUAACUCCGUGCCAGCAGCCGCGGUAAUACGGAGGAUCCGAGCGUUAUCCGGAUUUAUUGGGUUUAAAGGGAGCGUAGGUGGAUUGUUAAGUCAGUUGUGAAAGUUUGCGGCUCAACCGUAAAAUUGCAAUUGAAACUGGCAGUCUUGAGUACAGUAGAGGUAGGCGGAAUGCGUGGUGUAGCGGUGAAAUGCUUAGAUAUCACGAAGAACUCCGAUUGCGAAGGCAGCUCACUAAACUGCAACUGACACUGAUGCUCGAAAGUGUGGGUAUCAAACAGGAUUAGAUACCCGUGUAGUC